rnacentral:rRNA from 1 species
UACGGAGGUGGCAAGCGUUGUUCGGAAUUACUGGGCGUAAAGGGAGCGUAGGCGGACUGUUUAGUCAGAGGUGAAAGCCCAGGGCUCAACCUUGGAAUUGCCUUUGAUACUGGCAGUCUUGAGUACGGAAGAGGUAUGUGGAACUCCGAGUGUAGAGGUGAAAUUCGUAGAUAUUCGGAAGAACACCAGUGGCGAAGGCGACAUACUGGUCCGAUACUGACGCUGAGGCGCGAAAGCGUGGGGAGCAAACAGGG